ensembl:snoRNA
AAGACUAUACUUUCAGGGACCAUUUCUAUAGUUUGUGACUAGAGAAGUUUCUCUGAACGUGUAGAGCGCCGGAAACCAUGAGGAGGAGGCGUGGUGUUCUCUCCUGAGCAUGAAGCCAGCAGUUGUUGUUGCUUCUGCAGCUGCCACUUGCCUUUGAUGAUCAUUCUUCUCUCUCUUUGAGAGAGUAAGAGGGAGAACACCGUCUGAGUGGUU